AAAGGUAUAGCUCAGUGGUAGAGCAUGUGCUUAGCAUGCACGAGGUCCUGGGUUCAAACCCCAGUACUUCCA
rnacentral:tRNA from 1 species